rnacentral:rRNA from 1 species
UACGGAGGAUGCAAGCGUUAUCCGGAAUGAUUGGGCGUAAAGCGUCCGCAGAUGGCUAUGUAAGUCUGCUGUUAAAGAGUGAGGCUCAACCUCAUAAGAGCAGUGGAAACUACAUGGCUAGAGUGCGUUCGGGGCAGAGGGAAUUCCUGGUGUAGCGGUGAAAUGCGUAGAUAUCAGGAAGAACACCGGUGGCGAAAGCGCUCUGCUAGGCCGCGACUGACACUGAGGGACGAAAGCUAGGGGAGCGAAUGGG